GACGAACGCUGGCGGCGCGCCUAACACAUGCAAGUCGAACGAGCGAGAGAGAGCUUGCUUUCUCAAGCGAGUGGCGAACGGGUGAGUAACGCGUGAGGAACCUGCCUCAAAGAGGGGGACAACAGUUGGAAACGACUGCUAAUACCGCAUAAGCCCACGGCUCGGCAUCGAGCAGAGGGAAAAGGAGCAAUCCGCUUUGAGAUGGCCUCGCGUCCGAUUAGCUAGUUGGUGAGGUAACGGCCCACCAAGGCGACGAUCGGUAGCCGGACUGAGAGGUUGAACGGCCACAUUGGGACUGAGACACGGCCCAGACUCCUACGGGAGGCAGCAGUGGGGAAUAUUGCACAAUGGGGGAAACCCUGAUGCAGCGACGCCGCGUGGAGGAAGAAGGUCUUCGGAUUGUAAACUCCUGUUGUUGAGGAAGAUAAUGACGGUACUCAACAAGGAAGGA
rnacentral:rRNA from 1 species